rnacentral:misc_RNA from 1 species
GGAAGUAAAGUCGUAACAAGGUCUCCGUAGGUGAACCUGCGGAGGGAUCAUUACAGAGUUCAUGCCCUACCGGGUAGAUCUCCCACCCUAUGUUAUUAUUACUUUGCUGCUUUGGCGGGCCGUUAGGCUCCGGCCCGACUACCGGCCCCGGCUGGUAAGCGCCCGCCAGAGGACCCAAAACCCUGAAUAUUAGUGUCGUCUGAGUACUAUAUAAUAGUUAAAACUUCCAACAACGGAUCUCUUGGUUCUG